rnacentral:rRNA from 1 species
CCAAUAGCGUAUAUUAAAGUUGUUGCAGUUAAAAAGCUCGUAGUUGAAUUUCGGGGUUUGUCAGUUGGUCGGGCUUCACUGUCCGUACUGACUUGAUGGAUCCCUACCUUCUGAAUAACCAGCAUGCUAUUAAGUUAGUGCGUUGGGGAAGAAGAUCUAUUACCUUGAAAAAAUAAGAGGGCUUAAAGCAAGCUAGUGCUUGAAUGGUUUAGCAUGGAAUAAUAAAAUAGGACGGCAUGGUUCUAUUUUGUUGGUUUCUAGGAUCACCGUAAUGAUUAAUAGGGAUAGUUGGGGGCAUUAGUAUUCAAUUGUCAGAGGUGAAAUUCUUGGAUUUAUUGAAGACUAACUUCUGCGAAAGCAUUUGCCAAGGAUGUUUUCAUUAAUCAAGAACGAAAGUUAGGGGAUCGAAGACGAUCAGAUACCGUCGUAGUCUUAACCAUAAACUAUGCCGACUAGGAAUCGGACGAUGUUAAUUUUUUAAUGACUCGUUCGGCACCUUACG